CCAAUAGCGUAUAUUAAAGUUGUUGCAGUUAAAAAGCUCGUAGUUGAAUUUCGGGAUCAAAUUGUCGGUCGUGCCUCGGUACGAACUGGUAUUAUUGGUUCUUACCUUCUGAAGAACCGCGAUGUCAUUAAUUUGGUGUCGUGGGGAAUCAGGACUGUUACUUUGAAAAAAUUAGAGUGUUUAAAGCAGGCUUACGCUUGAAUACAUUAGCAUGGAAUAAUGAAAUAGGACGUUUGAUUCUAUUUUGUUGGUUUCUAGGAUUGACGUAAUGAUUAAUAGGGAUAGUUGGGGGCAUUAGUAUUCAAUUGUCAGAGGUGAAAUUCUUGGAUUUAUUGAAGACUAACUACUGCGAAAGCAUUUGCCAAGGAUGUUUUCAUUAAUCAAGAACGAAAGUUAGGGGAUCGAAGACGAUCAGAUACCGUCGUAGUCUUAACCAUAAACUAUGCCGACUAGGGAUCGGAUGAUGUUAAUUUUUUAAUGACUCAUUCGGCGCCUUACG
rnacentral:misc_RNA from 1 species